AUUGAACGCUGGCGGCAGGCUUAACACAUGCAAGUCGAGCGGAGAUGAGGUGCUUGCACCUUAUCUUAGCGGCGGACGGGUGAGUAAUGCUUAGGAAUCUGCCUAUUAGUGGGGGACAACAUUCCGAAAGGAAUGCUAAUACCGCAUACGUCCUACGGGAGAAAGCAGGGGAUCUUCGGACCUUGCGCUAAUAGAUGAGCCUAAGUGGGAUUAGCUAGUUGGUGGGGUAAAGGCCUACCAAGGCGACGAUCUGUAGCGGGUCUGAGAGGAUGAUCCGCCCCACGGGGACUGAGACACGGCCCAGAAUCCUACGGGAGGCAGAAGUGGGGAAUAUUGGACAAUGGGGGAAACCCUGAUCAAGCCAUGCCGCGUGUGUGAAGAAGGCCUUAUGGUUGUAAAGCACUUUAAGCGAGGAGGAGGCUACUGAGACUAAUACUCUUGGAUAGUGGACGUUACUCGCAGAAUAAGCACCGGCUAACUCUGUGCCAGCCGCCGCUGUAA
rnacentral:rRNA from 1 species